rnacentral:rRNA from 1 species
CACACGCGCGCUACACUGACAGAGCCAGCGAGUACUCCCUUGGCCGGAAGGUCCGGGUAAUCUUGUCAAACUCUGUCGUGCUGGGGAUAGAGCAUUGCGAUUAUUGCUCUUCCACGAGGAAUCUCUAGUAAGCGCGAGUCAUCAGCAUUGCGUUGAUAACGU